AGUGAACGCUGGCGGUAGGCCUAACACAUGCAAGUCGAACGGCAGCACAGUAAGAGCUUGCUCUUACGGGUGGCGAGUGGCGGACGGGUGAGGAAUACAUCGGCAUCUACUUUUUCGUGGGGGAUAACGUAGGGAAACUUACGCUAAUACCUCAUACGACCUACGGGUGAAAGCAGGGGAUCUUCGGACCUUGCGCGAUUGAAUGAGCCGAUGUCGGAUUAGCUAGUUGGCGGGGUAAAGGCCCACCAAGGCGACGAUCCGUAGCUGGUCUGAGAGGAUGAUCAGCCACACUGGAACUGAGACACGGUCCAGACUCCUACGGGAGGCAGCAGUGGGGAAUAUUGGACAAAGGGCGCAAGCCUGAUCCAGCCAUACCGCGUGGGUGAAGAAGGCCUUCGGGUUGUAAAGCCCUUUUGUUGGGAAAGAAAAGCAGCAGGUUAAUACCCCGCUGUUCUGACGGUACCCAAAGAAUAAGCACCGGCUAACUUCGUG
rnacentral:rRNA from 1 species